UCGUAUCUCAUGAGACCCAUUCACUGUCAUGGGAAUAGCACAGGAAAGACCUGCCCCCAUAAUUCAGUCACCUCCCACCAUGUCCUUCCCACAACACUUGGGACUUAUGGGAGCAACAAGAUGAGAUUUGGGUGGGGACACAGAGCCAAACCAUAUCAACUAGUCUAAAAAAAAUAAAUUAUCUG